AACCGUGUGACCCGGUCCGUUCAGGACUAAAGCCGAACGAUGUCAUCCCCUUCCAAUUCUAUCUGAUCCAUGGAUCUCCUUCAUCCAACGGCCCUGAUUCAUUCGUCCAUAUCUGAUAAAAAUGUCUGAAUAUUAGUCUAAACCCUAGAGACAUACAGACGUUUCAUCGUACCCUCUCAUCUUCCUCCUAUUGAACGUGUGACACCGCAGGAGCCCUCGCCGGCAAGAAGCGUAACCUAUGCCGUUGGAAACCAAAUCAACACCAUUGAUACCCCUUCUUCUCCUCAUUCCGACCCCCGCACCAUCAUCUCUCUAAUAUUCCCCCCAGGCCGUCGAAUAUCCAUUUGAAGAUUUUCCGGCCACGACGUAAACUAUUCCAAAUCACUCAAAACUUACAACAUUGACUCUCCUAACUUCCCUCAACCCAAAUCCACAGCCAUUUACCCUCAAAUUAGUCGAUUGGCUCGAAUAUUGGUUCAAAGGUUACCGGGAUCCAGAUGUCUUUGAAAACUACCAAAUUGGCACUACACAGUCUCCCUAUUCUCAUAGCGAAGAAUUGACCCUUCGCGAGGUUCGAAUAUUACCAAGUCCGCUCAUGUUCGGAGUCAACUUUUAGAGCAGUGAGUCCCGUUUCAUUUUUUUCUUCUUCUUCUUUCUUCUUUCUUUUUCGUUGCUUUCCAUUUCUCAGCUUUUAUUGUAUUGUUAAUUUUCAUUUGAAAUGCUUGUAUAGUUUUGUGGAUUUAAGAGGUUCAGCUUAGGAUCGGAUUGUGCUUUCUCAUGUAGGUUAAUUGUCAGUUUGAGUCGCAUUUUAUUUUGUUUUAUCUUAUGUUCUGAGUCGUGUUUGAUUGUUCGGUUGAUAGACUUUAAUUCGCUUCGCUUGGUUAAACAUAGUAUGAUUGGUAGUUUGAUGGGAUUCAUUAUAUAUUGAUGGUAUGAUUUUCUGAUUCAUCUCCAAUGGUUUUGGUUAAGAAUAAAGGUUAAUUUAAAGGUUUGAUUACCAUUAGAUACUUUCCUGGGUGUUUUUUGAUCCGGAUUAAGUAUAAAUGGUUGUUUUUGAAUUCAUGUUUAUUGAUUUUUCUUUAGUUAGUCUUGUUUUCUAGUUUUAAACUCUAUUAGAUAUGUGUUUUGUUAAUUUUAGUUCACCCCAUGGCAGUAGUCAGUUAGUUUUGGUGUUUGGAUAUGGUUGGAAGCCUGAAACCUCUUAGCUUAAAUGUAGUUAGUUGUUAGGUAACUGACGUUGAUAAGUUUAGACUGAAUUCAAGGGUAGUAUGGGUAUUUUGUAUUGGGUAGAACAUGGUAGAUAAUACUAGGAUAUUCUAUCAUUUUCUUGAAUAAGACAUUAGUGCAUAUUUUUACAAGUUAAGGAAUAGGCUUGAGGGACGAGUUAGGAAAUAAAGGAUCAACUAAUUAAAAGAAGAGGGACCUAUAGUGUAAUUAAAGGUUUUUAGGGAUGCCCUCUUUGUGCCUAUAAAAGGGCAUCAUUGAUGCCUUGAAACAAGAGUUUGGGGGGCAGCUAUAAAAUUUCCCCAAAAAUCCCUCUUCAGGCUUCAGAUUUUAGAACUAAAAUAUGAAAUUCAGUUCUUCGUUUCAGCCUCCAAAAAUUAGUUUAAUUUCAGUUCUUUGAAUUUCAUAUUUAAAACACCAGAUCUGAAGUUCUUUUUUCAUCUUAAAAAAUUUGAUUCACUGUUUCAUUAGCAUUUCUUCAAUCUAGUUUCAAAUUCUGUUUUGAAUGCCUUCAUUAUGUGUUUUAUACAUGUGUUAGUAGCAUCAAGAAGAUUUGAGUUUGUGUUGGUGAUUCUUGGUUUUUUAGUUGUAAAUGAAUUCAAGUGUGUUCGGGUAAUUGGUAUUGGAUUUGGCUUGGUUUGAGUAGAUUUCAAAAGUUCCUAGUGGAUUGAACUAGUUUCUGACUAUUCGAUUUCUGUUUUCUGUUCGUAGUCUGCUGCUGUUGACUGACCUUGCUUCCUCUUCAUUCCUCAACUUACAGGUACACUUAUGUACAUAUCUUGCAAUUGGAAUGAAAUGAAGAGUGCUUCCCGUUGACUGCUUCAUAGUUGAAUUAAUGUUGUAGUUUCAAUUGAUUUUAUAUGAGCUCUAUUGUAGCGUAAGCUUACAGAACUAGGACAUUGAUGGUUUUCUUGGAAAUUACUAUCGAGUUAUAGGGACUGUGAACUAGAACGUUGGUUUUGAUUUGUUUAAACCUGAACCUUAUAACUUUCAUUUGAACUUUUGGGCUGACUGUAACUAAAUAAGGAUAGAAACAUGUCAGAUUUUUAUAUUAUUGUUACUUCCAGCUUACUAUGCAAUUAAAAGUAAUCGAUUUCAAGCCAGAUUGCAAGGAGUUUCGUGAGUGAACACUGUUUGGUUCAUGUGAGUAAUAUGGUAUAAUAUUGACACCAUGUUUAAUUAGUUAUAAGAAUUUGGAACUAAAAAGGUUGAUAUAUUUCUAUUUUUUAAUCACGAAUCAAUCCAAUUAACUUGAUAUUGGAGGGUUCAAUGCAAUUUAAUAAGUACAACCACUGAGAUUCGAACCCAGUUUCUUGGUAUUCUGUACAUUCGGAUUCAGUGUUAGUUAGGCCAAAUAAUUGUCGUCAUCUGUUUGAUAUAUCAGAUCCCUAUGUAUGUAAAUUGGAAGGCCAAGUCCACCAUACACAUUUGGCAAUUGGACUUGGCGAAACGUUGCUGGAUUCGAUUCCACUGUCUCCCUACGCAGAUGGUUAGUUUUUGGAUUGAGAUAGAUUUCAGGCCCAGUUUCGAAGUCCUUUUGCCUGAUACGCUUGAAUGGGCUUUCUGCGGGUUUAUCGGCAAUUGAUCCAUUGAUUGUAAUUUGAUGUGUGUCUUUGAGUUAGGUAGUGGAUUUUAAAAUAAAAGGUUCGUCCUUUUGUUUGGACAUGUACAUUAACUUAAGGCCCAAAUUUUGAAUAUGAUUAAUGAGGACUUUCUUUUCAUUAUUA
rnacentral:lncRNA from 1 species